rnacentral:rRNA from 1 species
CCCCUUCCGGGGGGCACCUGGUGCUGGGGAUCAGCGGCCCCCGGGCCCCUGUCCCCCAAAUGCAGUGGCGGUCGCGCCGCAGCCUCCCYUGCGUAGUAGCACACCUCGCACCGGAGAGCGGCUCGGCCACGCCGUGAAACCCCCCAACUUUCACAAGGUUGACCUCGGAUCAGGUAGGAAUACCCGCUGAACUUAAGCAUAUCAAUAAGCGGAGGAAAAGAAACCAACAGGGAUUGCCUCAGUAACGGCGAGUGAAGCGGCAACAGCUCAAAUUUGAAAUCUGGCCGCAAGGUCCGAGUUGUAAUUUGCAGAGGAUGCUUUUGGCGAGGUGCCUUCCGAGUUCCCUGGAACGGGACGCCACAGAGGGUGAGAGCCCCGUACGGUUGGACCGCCGAGCC